AGAGUUUGAUCAUGGCUCAGAUUGAACGCUGGCGGCGUGCCUAACACAUGCAAGUCGAGCGGUAACAGGUGUAGCAAUACAUGCUGACGAGCGGCGAACGGGUGAGUAAUGCUUCGGAAUCUACCUUAUGGUGGGGAAUAACUAGCCGAAAGGUUAGCUAAUACCGCAUACGUCCUACGGGAGAAAGCAGGGGAUCGCAAGACCUUGCGCCAAAAGAUGAGCCGAAGCCGGAUUAGCUAGUUGGUAGGGUAACGGCCUACCAAGGCGACGAUCCGUAGCUGGUCUGAGAGGACGACCAGCCACACUGGGACUGAGACACGGCCCAGACUCCUACGGGAGGCAGCAGUGGGGAAUAUUGGACAAUGGGGGAAACCCUGAUCCAGCGACGCCGCGUGUGUGAAGAAGGCCUGCGGGUUGUAAAGCACUUUUAGUGGGGAUGAAAUGUGCAGGGAUAAUACCUCUGCAUUUUGACCUAACCCACAGAAAAAGCACCGGCUAACUCUGUGCCAGCAGCCGCGGUAAUACAGAGGGUGCAAGCGUUAAUCGGAAUUACUGGGCGUAAAGCGUGCGUAGACGGUUACAUAAGUCGGGUGUGAAAGCCCCGGGCUCAACCUGGGAAUUGCAUUCGAGACUGCGUAGCUAGGGUGCGGAAGAGGGAAGCGGAAUUUCCGGUGUAGCGGUGAAAUGCGUAGAUAUCGGAAGGAACACCAGUGGCGAAAGCGGCUUCCUGGUCCAGCACCGACGUUCAGGCACGAAAGCGUGGGGAGCAAACAGGAUUAGAUACCCUAGUAGUCC
rnacentral:rRNA from 1 species